rnacentral:rRNA from 1 species
UACGUAGGGUGCAAGCGUUGUCCGGAAUUAUUGGGCGUAAAGAGCUCGUAGGCGGUUUGUCGCGUCUGCUGUGAAAACCCGAGGCUCAACCUCGGGCCUGCAGUGGGUACGGGCAGACUAGAGUGCGGUAGGGGAGAUUGGAAUUCCUGGUGUAGCGGUGGAAUGCGCAGAUAUCAGGAGGAACACCGAUGGCGAAGGCAGAUCUCUGGGCCGCAACUGACGCUGAGGAGCGAAAGCAUGGGUAGCGAACAGG